UUCCGGGUUGCCGGCCUGCGGCCUCUUGGGGCCUCCGAGCCGCAAGAAUUCCUCGAAGUUUUUCCUAGAACCUCACACUCUUUAAGUGCUCUCUGGGCGACCAGGAGGAGGCCUACUUGCCACAACUGCUGCUGGGCAGCUGUCUUCUGGAAUGUCGCGGGGCUGGGACCUUCCGCACCCCAGAGGCCCCAGCACCAUCGGAAAUACUGGGAGAGCUUGGUCAACCAAGUUCAUGAUGCCAGGUGUAGGAACGAACAAGUAUCCCACUUCUCCAAAUGUUUUCUUAAUCGUCUGUUAACCAGUAAAGAAUAUAGAAAUUGCUGUUAUCUAAACCAAGGUGGAGAUGUAGAACUCAGCUCCUCCUGCACCAUGUCUUCCUGGAUGCUGCCAUGCUCCUGCCUUGAUGAUAAUGGACUGAACCUCUGAACCUGUAAGCCAGCCCCAAUUAAAUGUUGUCC
ensembl:lncRNA LOC120098329 uncharacterized LOC120098329